rnacentral:lncRNA from 1 species
GGCGCUCAAAAUUGGAACGUUGGACAAGCCAUAAGGAGAGGGAUUUCAAUAUCAACAGUAAGUCGUCAUCUUCCCUGAAGUUUAAAGAAAUUAAUAAGAAUAGUAAUGGCAGAACGUUAGAGACCAGCAAAAUUCCAGAGGAACCUGCUACAGCAGUUGAGCCUGUUGAUAAGCAAAGCCCCAUGGCUGAUAAGAAAGAUGGUAGUAAUCCUGAGAAUACAAAACCAGUGGACGAUCGGCACCUUGACACAGUUGAGAAGCUGAAGAAGCGAAGUGAGCGAUUCAAGCUCCCAAUGCCAAGUGAGAAGGAUACGUUGGCAAUAAAGAAAAUGGAGAGUGAACCUCUACCUUCUACCAAAAGUGAGACUGCUGCAGGCUCAGAAAUCAAACAGGAGCGGCCAGCCCGGAAACGAAGGUGGAUCAGUAACUAAAGUUGGGAAAAGUUAUUCCCCGCACUAUUUUUGAAUUAUUGAACCCUGAAGUUGUUAUCAUGCCCCAUGCUUUGAAAUGGCUUAAAUAGGGUUCUUAGGAUAUGCAAUGUACCUCAGCUAUAGUUUUAUAAUUUUGUAACCAUGCAGCCACCAUAUAACUUUUUAUAUUAUGUGUAUAUACAAUGGGGAUUGUAACUCUGUAACUGGUCACUAGUGGUGGCACAGAGAAUUGCUUUUAGUGUUAAUUUGAAUUGUAUUACCCAGAUUUAGUCUGGGUGCUUGGAGGCUCAGUCCUGUACUGUACCUGCAAAUUCUGCUAACAGAGAAUUGUUGUUGUAUGGAAUGGAGGCCGGCGCUGUCAGAGGCGAGGCUUUAGCUUGAUGUUGACAACUUCCUCAGUUGUGAGGUUCAAAGAAAUUCUGUAACUGAUGGAUGAUCUAGGUGAAGACGAAACUCUCCGCAAUGUAAGAGUAGGAAGUAGGAACAUCAAGAUUGAUAUGAAUGAUUCAUCUUCCUUGUAUCUGUAGUUUGUUAGAAAUUACGACCAUUUUUGUUUUUUUGUUUUUGCCCUUUUACUUAGUUUUGGCGGGAUGCCACAACAGGUUGAAACACAUAUCGAAAUCGAAUGUUGGUUCGGGUCAGUCCAUUUUGUUGUACUAAGAGAAAAAAUUGAGUUAUAUUGAAGGUAAAGAAACAAUAUUUCAGUCACUGACCUCUUCUUCCCAUGUUGAAUGAAUUGUUAGCAAAAUGUGAUUCAUUAACCAGAAUACCAACCUUACUGCUAUUUAAGGCUUCAAUAUUCGGGUUCGGGGCACGCUGAAUCCUGAAGGAGGUGUUAAACGGGUCGGUCAAAUUUAGGUGCAACACACGAGUCACAUUGAAUGUAUGAUAAUAAUAAUACAUUUACAUUAAUUUUACUACUGCUGUACGGCCAAGGCGGAUGUACGGUACAGCAGUUUGGUUUUCUUUUUGGGGAUUUUAAGAUUUUGGUUUUUUGUUUAUUGACCAUUGGCGUCCAUUCAAGAAUUUUUCUGUAGCUUUAGAAAGUUGAAUGUUGCUUGAGUACUGAAAAUUAGUGCCUUUUCUUUUUCUUUUUUUUUCCAAUCAUUAAUGAGUACUAGAGGUUUUUAAAAUAUAUGAUUGUUGCUUUGCUUUGGUUUUUAAUUGGGAUUCUUGCUUUUGGUUUUUGCAGGUUUUGGGUUUUUAUCAGCUUAUGAAUUACGAAAUUGUGGGAAUGAGAAACCGGUCCACGGUAACUCUUCCAGAAAAGAGAAGGAAGAAGCUUCCUCAGAUGACGAACAGCAAGACUCAAGGAGAGGGCGCUCAAAAUUGGAACGUUGGACAAGCCAUAAGGAGAGGGAUUUCAAUAUCAACAGUAAGUCGUCAUCUUCCCUGAAGUUUAAAGAAAUUAAUAAGAAUAGUAAUGGCAGAACGUUAGAGACCAGCAAAAUUCCAGAGGAACCUGCUACAGCAGUUGAGCCUGUUGAUAAGCAAAGCCCCAUGGCUGAUAAGAAAGAUGGUAGUAAUCCUGAGAAUACAAAACCAGUGGACGAUCGGCACCUUGACACAGUUGAGAAGCUGAAGAAGCGAAGUGAGCGAUUCAAGCUCCCAAUGCCAAGUGAGAAGGAUACGUUGGCAAUAAAGAAAAUGGAGAGUGAACCUCUACCUUCUACCAAAAGUGAGACUGCUGCAGGCUCAGAAAUCAAACAGGAGCGGCCAGCCCGGAAACGAAGGUGGAUCAGUAACUAAAGUUGGGAAAAGUUAUUCCCCGCACUAUUUUUGAAUUAUUGAACCCUGAAGUUGUUAUCAUGCCCCAUGCUUUGAAAUGGCUUAAAUAGGGUUCUUAGGAUAUGCAAUGUAC